AAAAAAUUAUCGUGUUACCAUGACAACUACUUUAGAUACUUCAUGUUCGGAAAAUACAAUGGUUUGUCAGCAAGGCAAGGGUUCCUGCAUGUAUGUAUUUUCUAGUCUACGCACUAUUGUUUGUGAGAAAUCGACUCGCCCGCAAAAUGGCGGCCAACAUGCGCGAGGCGACAUGCGCGAGGACAAAAACUUCAAAGGUUCCGACACGAGUGGCCUCUCUAUUCAAUCUUUACUCUAUGACCAAGGUAGACUUUUUAAAAACAAAACUUUCUCCAAAUCUAAUGGUUGCAGCUGCCUUUGCAAUUCGCUCAGCAAAUUGUUGUGCAAAAUAACGAACUAACAAUGCAUUUGCACAACACGCCUGGCAUGCUCUUCUGGAGUUUGACCUAGAUCUUGCACUGCUUCAAGAGUUUUUGGCAGAAACUUUUUAACUACCCACGAUUUACCAUUGAAAGCAUCCAGAUAUGUUAAGCAAGAAGCUUUAAAAGCAACUCUAAAACCACCUUGACAGUAGUAAUAUAGGGGCCGAUCGGGCCGGAUUUUUGCGGCGG